GACGAACGCUGGCGGCGUGCCUAAUACAUGCAAGUAGGACGCAGUUGCGAACGGGUGAGUAACGCGUAGGUAACUACCUAUUAGAGGGGGAUAACUAUUGGAAACGAUAGCUAAUACCGCAUACUAGUAGAUGGACCUGCGUUGUAUUAGCUAGUAGGUAGGGUAAUGGCCUACCUAGGCAACGAUACAUAGCCGACCUGAGAUGGGGAGCAACCCCCCUGGGACUGAGACACGGCCCAGACUCCUACUCAGAACAACAUUAUUUAAUCUUCGGCAAUUUGGGGAAGCCUGACCUAGCAACGCCGCGUGAGUGAAGAAGUUUUUCGGAUCAUCAAUCUCUGUUGUUAAGGAAGCGGUACUUAACCAGAAAGGGACGGCUAACUACGUGCCAGCAGCCGCGGUAAUAC
rnacentral:rRNA from 1 species